rnacentral:lncRNA from 10 species
CAAGGAUGACUUAGCACCGUCCCCCUGGUGGAAGCCCUUGGAACAGGAUGUAAAAGCAGCACUUUCCAUCCAGCCUGACAUCCUGCUUCCAGAUGCAGAAGGCUGAGCAGGCCACCAGGAUCACAUUUAAAUGGCUGUGGCCAUGAUGUUCCAAUUUGAAACCUGGACUCCACCAACUUCCAUACUCAUCCCUUGCUCUCAGCCCUCUCCCUCCCCUGUCCAGGUCCUCAGGAUGAUCUGAGAAAUAUGUUACACUUUUCUUCCUCGCUAGAUGUCAACACGUUGGAAGGCAGGGACCUUGCCAUAUUAAUCCUUAGGGCCUUGGGUUCUGCUGUAGUAAAGACUCAAAAAAUGUUGGGUAAAAUUAAUUUUAAAAACAACUGGUGGCCGGGUGCGGUGGCUCACGCCUAUGAUCCCAGCACUUUGGGAGGCCAAGGCGGGUGGAUCACCUGAGGUCAGGAGUUCGAGACCAGCCUGGGCAACAUGGUGAAACCCUGUCUUUACUAAAAAUACAAAAAUUAGCCUGGCGUGGUGGCAGCGCCUGUAGUCCCAGCUACUUGGGAGGCUAAGACAGGAGAAUUGCUUGAACUUGGGA